rnacentral:rRNA from 1 species
GAUUCUGGCUCAGGAUGAACGCUGGCGGCGUGCCUAACACAUGCAAGUCGAGCGAUUCUCUUCGGAGAAGAGCGGCGGACGGGUGAGUAACGCGUGGGUAACCUGCCUCAUACACAUGGAUAACAUACCGAAAGGUAUGCUAAUACAGGAUAAUAUAAGAGAUUCACAUGGAUUUCUUAUCAAAGCUCCGGCGGUAUGAGAUGGACCCGCGUCUGAUUAGCUAGUUGGUAAGGUAACGGCUUACCAAGGCGACGAUCAGUAGCCGACCUGAGAGGGUGAUCGGCCACAUUGGAACUGAGACACGGUCCAAACUCCUACGGGAGGCAACAGUGGGGAAUAUUGCACAAUGGGCGAAAGCCUGAUGCCAGCAACGCCGCGUGAGUGAUGAAGGCCUUCGGGUCGUAAAACUCUGUCCUCAAGGAAGAUAAUGACGGUACUUGAGGAGGAAGCCCCGGCUAACUACGUGCCAGCAGCCGC